AAAGACUUGAGUUCUGAGUGCACAUCAGAGGGAGUCUGAUGGGGCCAGACCAGUUCCGAGGUUUAACCCUAUUCCAACGGCAGGUGUGUGGAAAACGGCUAGCAGCACACAGAUGUUACCCAACAGCUGCGGAUGCCCGUGAACCAGGAGGCCCCAGGCCCUGCCCUCACAGGGACAUCCUGUGGACAUGGGGGACAAGAAACUAGUGACCAGAGGCAGGCUCCAGAAAACCUCCGGUUGUGCCAAGAAUGGUGGAGAUAAAGACAAACAAGUCAGGCCACUGGCUUAUUCUAAACAAAGUCCACUGUCACCUGCCCCCAUCCACAGCGGAGUACACACAUAAACCCCGCUGGAGCGCAGGAGAGAGCUGGGCACGCACAGACUUGUAACCUUGCUGAGAGAGGCCGUCCCCACUUGAGAUCCAGGGCAACACCACCCCAUGAGGUCUGGACACCACGUUGUAGCUGCUAGGUAGGGGUGUCCUAUAGACACCAUCUGCCUGGAUGCUUCCAUGUUGGACUGGGGACAGAAUGGUCAAGAGUACCGACUUUGGGGCCAGGCAGUUCUGGGGUUUGACCAGGUGGAGGCUUCGACGGUGUCACUUAACCUCUGGGAGCCGCAAGUGUCUAUCUAUUAAAAAAAAAAAAAGGCAGGGGGAGGUGUAAUCAGGAGGCAUUGUAAGAGAUCCUGCUUGUAAAAAAGCAUUUGGCCCAUAGUAGGUGAUCAGUAAAAUGCCAGCCACUGCGAUUAACAUCUGAGCCAAGGUCAGUGGACCAAAUCUGCACAGACCUUUUCGGGCUCUCUGGUGCAAAGCGGUAUCGCCCAACAGGGAGCGCUCCCAGCCCCACCUUGUUCCGAGAUGACCUGAACUCCCUUCUCACCAGCCGUGCAUGGGGCCCAGAUGCCCAGGGCUCACGACAAUUAAUUUUAUGUUGAUUGCAAGCGCUCAUUUGAAUUCUGCCCAAGCUGAGAGCUGCUCCAACAACCCCCAGCUUAUGGGACAGCAGGGCUGGCAGAAUUCAAGGUUAACAGAGUAUGAAUUGCCUUAUUCUGGUGGGUGAACCCUGUGCUCCCGGUCAGCUGGCGGGUGGUAAUAAUUAUGGGCAGUGCCCCUGGCAGGAUCUCUGAUGAAGGCUGGCCGGGGUCUCUAGAUUCGUUCAUUAGAUCCCUUUUCUGGCCCUAUGCAAGGCCUUCCCAACUAUUUUGAGAAAGAGGACCUCCAUGGGAUAAUCAUGGAGUCGAGGGAAUGGCUGCACAGA